rnacentral:rRNA from 1 species
AUUGAACGCUGGCGGCAGGCCUAACACAUGCAAGUCGAGCGGAUGAGUGGAGCUUGCUCCAUGAUUCAGCGGCGGACGGGUGAGUAAUGCCUAGGAAUCUGCCUGGUAGUGGGGGACAACGUUUCGAAAGGAACGCUAAUACCGCAUACGUCCUACGGGAGAAAGCAGGGGACCUUCGGGCCUUGCGCUAUCAGAUGAGCCUAGGUCGGAUUAGCUAGUAGGUGAGGUAAUGGCUCACCUAGGCGACGAUCCGUAACUGGUCUGAGAGGAUGAUCAGUCACACUGGAACUGAGACACGGUCCAGACUCCUACGGGAGGCAGCAGUGGGGAAUAUUGGACAAUGGGCGAAAGCCUGAUCCAGCCAUGCCGCGUGUGUGAAGAAGGUCUUCGGAUUGUAAAGCACUUUAAGUUGGGAGGAAGGGCAGUAAGUUAAUACCUUGCUGUUUUGACGUUACCAACAGAAUAAGCACCGGCUAACUUCGUGCCAGCAGCCGCGGUAAUACGAAGGGUGCAAGCGUUAAUCGGAAUUACUGGGCGUAAAGCGCGCGUAGGUGGUUCAGCAAGUUGGAGGUGAAAUCCCCGAGCUCAACCUGGGAACUGCCUCCAAAACUACUGAGCUAGAGUACGGUAGAGGGUAGUGGAAUUUCCUGUGUAGCGGUGAAAUGCGUAGAUAUAGGAAGGAACACCAGUGGCGAAGGCGACUACCUGGACUGAUACUGACACUGAGGUGCGAAAGCGUGGGGAGCAAACAGG